rnacentral:rRNA from 1 species
CCUACGGGACGCACCAGUGGGGAAUAUUGCACAAUGGGCGCAAGCCUGAUGCAGCCAUGCCGCGUGUGCGAAGAAGGCCUUCGGGUUGUAAAGCACUUUCAGCGAGGAGGAAGGUGGUGAACUUAAUACGUUCAUCAAUUGACGUUACUCGCAGAAGAAGCACCGGCUGACUCCGUGCCAGCAGCCGCGGUAAUACGGAGGGUGCAAGCGCUAAUCGGAAUUACUGGGCGUAAAGCGCACGCAGGCGGUUUGUUAAGUCAGAUGUGAAAUCCCCGGGCUCAACCUGGGAACUGCAUUUGAAACUGGCAAGCUAGAGUCUCGUAGAGGGGGGUAGAAUUCCAGGUGUAGCGGUGAAAUGCGUAGAGAUCUGGAGGAAUACCGGUGGCGAAGGUGGCCCCCUGGACGAAGACUGACGCUCAGGUGCGAAAGCGUGGGGAGCAAACAGGAUUAGAUACCCUUGUAGUC